GGUUUAUCUCAUCAAGGGUUUUCUUCAAGCCGAAGGACUGGACAGAACAGUAAUAUAUCUGCUGUAGGCAAACCCAUGUUUACAGCUGGGGAUGCAAGUGAACAUGUAAAUGCACAAGAUGUUGGACAUUUCAACACUUUUUUUGCAGAUAAUUCCGUGAGGGUUAAGUCUGAAAUUGUUUCUGAUGCAAACUGUCAGAUUAACAUCUUCCCUGAACAAUUUGGCCAAGAAGAUCUCAUGAGCACUCUUCUAAAACAGCAGCAGCAGGGACAUAUAGCAUCAGCUGAAAAUGAGUUUGACUUUG
rnacentral:misc_RNA from 1 species